ensembl:lncRNA
CAGUGUAAAUGGACUACACCAUAUCAUCAGGAGCUGCAGGUGUAAGAGAAGUAGGCUUUGAAGCUAAGCACUCACCGUCUCUCUGGUAUUAAUCACAGCAUCUCCGUCUCGCCACGGGGGAAAUCUCCACCGCAACUCUUCACUUCAUCUGGAAUUAAUGCAAGAUGUCGGAGAAGGAUGGGAGAUUCUGAGCUGCCAAGAAUGGAAAGUCAGGUCACGGAAGGAGGAUACAGAGAGAAGAAGUAAAUAAAUUCUUUACAUUAGGAAUUUAUAUCCAGGUUGUAUGGUGCUUGAGAGAACAACUGCCCAAGCAGGAUUCAACUUUAAAAAAG